rnacentral:lncRNA from 1 species
UUUGUUAUUUUUAUUGCAGUUGGUUUUGCUAUUAAACUGCUCCGCUUACCAAGUUCUGCUCUCCUGCGUCUGACUUCCCUGCCACCGGUUACGCACCCCUUACAGAUACAUCAUUAUUGAACCAUCCCUGAGAUAUUGCUACCACAUUCCCUUAUCAUUUCGUUAUUUGCUACAACAUUCCCUUAUCAUCCCUGAGUUAUCGCUACAACAUUCCCUUAUCAUCCCUGAGGUAUCAAUAUAGCAUUCCCUUAUCAUCCCUGAGUUAUCGCUACAACAUUCCCUUAUUCAUCCCUGAGUUAUCGCUACAAACAUUCUUAUCAUCCCUGGCUAUCAAUAUAGCAUCCCUGAGUUAUCGCUACAACAGUCCCUUAUCAUCCCUGAGCUAUCGCUACAACAUUCCAUUAUCGUCCACUCCCUGGUGUGGGGCCUCACCUUGGUCCAGUUCCCUAUCCUCCAGGAGGAGCAGGGUCGGAGGUAGCAGCGCCGGGCCGGCACAGGCCUCUUGGUCAGGUCACAGUCAGACUCCAGUCCCGUGCUGCAGACCACCAACCUCCAGAUGGCCCCCAGACCACAGCUAGUAGAACACUGCAACACAAGGGGAGGCAGUGAGGAGUGAACCAGGCAUCAUUCAAUGUCUUGUAAUACACUGAGU